GAUGAACGCUGGCGGCGUGCUUAACACAUGCAAGUCGAACGAAGCACUUUAUUUGAUUUCCUUCGGGACUGAUUAUUUUGUGACUGAGUGGCGGACGGGUGAGUAACUCGUGGGUAACCUGCCUUGUACAGGGGGAUAACAGUUGGAAACGGCUGCUAAUACCGCAUAAGCGCACAGCAUCGCAUGAUGCAGUGUGAAAAACUCCGGUGGUAUAAGAUGGACCCGCGUUGGAUUAGCUAGUUGGUGAGGUAACGGCCCACCAAGGCGACGAUCCAUAGCCGACCUGAUAGGGGGACCGGCCACAUUGGGACUGAGACACGGACCAAACUCCUACGGGAGGCAGCAGUGGGGAAUAUUGCACAAUGGGCGAAAGCCUGAUGCAGCGACGCCGCGUGAGCGAAGAAGUAUGUCGGUAUGUAAAGCCCUAUCAGAAGGGAAGAUAAUGACGUUACCUGACUAAGAAGCACCGGCUAAAUACGUG
rnacentral:rRNA from 1 species